GUGCUCACUUUGGCAGCACAUAUACUAAAACUGGAAUGAUACAGAGAAGAUUAGCAUGGCCCCUGUGCAAGGAUGACACGUAAAUUUGUGAAGCAUUGAAAAAAAGU
rnacentral:snRNA from 1 species